UACGAAGGGGGCUAGCGUUGCUCGGAAUCACUGGGCGUAAAGGGUGCGUAGGCGGGGCUUUAAGUCAGGGGUGAAAUCCUGGAGCUCAACUCCAGAACUGCCUUUGAUACUGAAGAUCUUGAGUUCGGGAGAGGUGAGUGGAACUGCGAGUGUAGAGGUGAAAUUCGUAGAUAUUCGCAGGAACACCAGUGGCGAAGGCGGCUCACUGGCCCGAUACUGACGCUGAGGCACGAAAGCGUGGGGAGCAAACAGG
rnacentral:rRNA from 1 species